rnacentral:rRNA from 1 species
UACGGGGGGGGCAAGCGUUGUUCGGAAUUACUGGGCGUAAAGGGCUCGUAGGCGGCCAACUAAGUCAGACGUGAAAUCCCUCGGCUUAACCGGGGAACUGCGUCUGAUACUGGAUGGCUUGAAUCCGGGAGAGGGAUGCGGAAUUCCAGGUGUAGCGGUGAAAUGCGUAGAUAUCAGGAGGAACACCGGUGGCGAGGGCAGGUCUCUGGGCCGAUACUGACGCUGAGGAGCGAAAGCGUGGGGAGCAAACAGG